UACGUAGGGUGCGAGCGUUGUCCGGAAUUACUGGGCGUAAAGAGCUCGUAGGUGGUUUGUCGCGUUGUCCGUGAAAACUCACAACUCAAUUGUGGGCGUGCGGGCGAUACGGGCAGACUGGAGUACUGCAGGGGAGACUGGAAUUCCUGGUGUAGCGGUGGAAUGCGCAGAUAUCAGGAGGAACACCAAUGGCGAAGGCAGCUCGCUGGAACGGAACUGACGCUGAGGCGCGAAAGUGUGGGGAGCAAACGGG
rnacentral:rRNA from 1 species